ensembl:lncRNA
CUAACAUACAUGUUGUUGGUUUAGAUGAUUUAACAAGUUUAUACAAUUCUACCUCUCCUAUAGUAUAGAAUGAGUGGAACUNNNNNNNNNNNNNNNNNNNNNNNNNNNNNNNNNNNNNNNNNNNNNNNNNNNNNNNNNNNNNNNNNNNNNNNNNNNNNNNNNNNNNNNNNNNNNNNNNNNNGAAAAUUAAGAUUUAUAUUUUUUAAGACAUACAGUCAUUGUAGUUUCAUUCUUACCUUGAAAUGUAACGGUUGCUUUUCUGAAAUUGAACCCGAAAUAUUAAACCUUGAUGACGUAUGAGGGUCAAUUAUUUUUGACCCUUUCGUUGUUGUAGUUGUCCGGCCUUUUAACAGUUUGUCACGUCUGUAAAUUACACAACGUCGUUUGAAAACUUUUGUUUCCAGCCAAUGUAACGUUAUGUGUGCAUGUAUUAAAGCGUUUUUCAUUCAAUGUUACAGGAAGCUGUAAGGCGCCUUCACAAUUUCGGAAAACAACCCACAUAAAUAUGAUUCACAAACUGGGUAAGACUGCUGUUUUUCUGCUAUGUUUAUUUGGCCUUUGUGGGCCAUGCUGUUUAUGGGGUUUUACAUAUUUCUUUUAAAUGUAUUUAAUGACACACUUCUCUUUCCACACAGAAUAAGUUCGCCUCGUAACCAAGCAGUCAUGACUUAUCUGCUAGAGGAAUUGAAAACAACUUUUGUAGAUGCAGACCCUGAGUGUAUACAAGCGUGUUGCAAGACAUACUUUGAAACACUUCGGAGAAAGUACAAUUUGUCUCAGCCAGAAAAGUCCCAGCUAAGAGAUGCCAUUAAAACAGGAGCUAAAAACCGACAUUCAUCAACUUGUCUUUAAAGGGAUAGUUCACCCCAAAUUGAAAAUUCUGUUAUUUUCUUCUGAUAACCACAAAAGAAAAUAUUUUUAGGAAUGUUUGAAAUCAAACUGAUCAUGAGCUCCAAUCACUUCCAUAGUAUUUUUUUUUCUACUUUAAAGUCAAUGGGGCUCAUGAUUGGUUGGAUUAUAAACAUUCCAUCUUUUGUGGUUAUCAGAACAAAGACAUUUACAGGUGUGUAACAACAUGAGAGUGAGUACAUUGACAGAAUUUUCAUUUUUGAGUGAACUAUUCCUUUAAGUUUGAUACAUUUCUGGGUGUUUUUAGUGGUUAACACAUUGUGUGUUUUGCAGUUGCUGGAUUCCAGGUCCAAGGUUGUUCAAACCGAUGCAGAGAGAGAGCUUUGGCAGACUGCAACAGUGGAGCUGAUGUCUGACGAGGAGGAUGCCAUUGUUGAUGGAAGGCCAGUGUGGAUUGUGAGGUCUCCAUCUCACAGGAACCCACAAUUGUCAGAACUUUGUGAGGAGCUUCAGCGCAGAUUGGAGGCAGACAUGCGCUACGCUAUUUUGCAUCAUCAGCGUGUUAAGGCUGAUGGAAAUGGACAUGAUGGACCUUCCUUUCUUCAACUUUAACUAAACUGCACUGGUUUUGCAAUUUUAAUAAUUGCACCACAAACUGCACAUUUUCACUUAUUCUCUUCUAUUUUAUCUUAUUCUUUGUAUACUUAUUAGGUUAGAUUUAUUUAGUUUCAUAUUCUGCAACUUAUUUUCUUUUAAUAUUGUGUGUGUUUGCUGUGUUUGGUUACAUUUUAAAUACUUUGUGCUGUGUGUACAUAUUAAGUAGUUUAUUUAGUUUUAUAUUCUGUAAAUGUUAUAAUAUUGCUUCUUUAGUAACAUUUUAUAAAAGUACUUUGCUUUGUGUACAUAUUAUUUAGUUUUAUAUUCUCUAACUGUUAUAAUAUUGCUUGUGUUUGGUUAACUUUUAUAAAAGUACUUUUUCCCCUGUACAGUUCCUAUAGUUUUAUUUAUAUAUUUAAUGCUUUAUUUAUAUAUUUAAUGCUUUAAGUGUUUUGGUUUAAUUUUAAUAAAAAGAAAUUCUGAAUCCAUUCAAUCAAGUCACUAUGCUAUGAGGGCUUGGGUUGGGCUAAAUGAAAACCGUGACCAAUCAAAUACUAGUAUCAGGAAAUUGACAGGUCACUGUCCCAAUAGUUGUCAGGGUUUGGGAGUGUUUUUUUUAAAACAACCAAUCAAUGUUGAGAAGAAACACCAAUAAGGACAGCAGAGGUGUGUCAAGGUGUGACGUGAAAAGGCUCUGGAGGUGUGAAAAUGUCUCCUGACAACAUUCUUCAGGGGAUUACUUGCCAUGGCAACAAAUGGCUGCAUAUACCACGGGGAUAUCCCUUCAGCAAGAUACAGCCGAAUUGGUAUCAUUACGGGAGUUUCCUAACUUGGUGGAAUUAGAAGUUUACCCUCAGUGGAACUAGUAGA